rnacentral:rRNA from 1 species
UCCUACGGGAGGCAGCAGUAGGGAAUCUUCCGCAAUGGGCGAAAGCCUGACGGAGCAACGCCGCGUGAGUGAUGAAGGUCUUCGGAUCGUAAAACUCUGUUAUUAGGGAAGAACAAAUGCGUAAGUAACUGUGCGCGUCUUGACGGUACCUAAUCAGAAAGCCACGGCUAACUACGUGCCAGCAGCCGCGGUAAUACGUAGGUGGCAAGCGUUAUCCGGAAUUAUUGGGCGUAAAGCGCGCGUAGGCGGUUUCUUAAGUCUGAUGUGAAAGCCCACGGCUCAACCGUGGAGGGCCAUUGGAAACUGAAAAACUUGAGUGCAGAAGAGGAAAGUGGAAUUCCAUGUGUAGCGGUGAAAUGCGCAGAGAUAUGGAGGAACACCAGUGGCGAAGGCGACUUUCUGGUCUGUAACUGACGCUGAUGUGCGAAAGCGUGGGGAUCAAACAGGAUUAGAUACCCUGGUAGUCCACGCCGUAAACGAUGAGUGCUAAGUGUUAGGGGGUUUCCGCCCCUUAGUGCUGCAGCUAACGCAUUAAGCACUCCGCCUGGGGAGUACGGCCGCAAGGCUUAAACUCAAAGGAAUUGACGGGGACCCGCACAAGCGGUGGAGCAUGUGGUUUAAUUCGAAGCAACGCGAAGAACCUUACCAAAUCUUGACAUCCUUUGACCGCUCUAGAGAUAGAGUCUUCCCCUUCGGGGGACAAAGUGACAGGUGGUGCAUGGUUGUCGUCAGCUCGUGUCGUGAGAUGUUGGGUUAAGUCCCGCAACGAGCGCAACCCUUAAGCUUAGUUGCCAUCAUUCAGUUGGGCACUCUAAGUUGACUGCCGGUGACAAACCGGAGGAAGGUGGGGAUGACGUCAAAUCAUCAUGCCCCUUAUGAUUUGGGCUACACACGUGCUACAAUGGACAAUACAAAGGGCAGCGAAACCGCGAGGUCAAGCAAAUCCCAUAAAGUUGUUCUCAGUUCGGAUUGUAGUCUGCAACUCGACUACAUGAAGCUGGAAUCGCUAGUAAUCGUAGAUCAGCAUGCUACG